rnacentral:misc_RNA from 1 species
GUCAACGUUUCUCCCUGUGAUUUUAGGUCUACAUUUCACAUUUUUACACUCUACAAAUUGAUCUAUUUGAAGGUCUAUGUAGGACAUGGCCAAAUCAUCCUUGGCAACCUCCCAAUUUAUCCUCUGGGUUUACUACUUGUACUUUUCAUCUAAUGUAAAGGGCAACCCGGUGCACUUACGCCCCCACUACGUGCAGACCUUAAAGGUUAUUGUACGCAGUCUUACACUACAUUUCUACUAGAGACUGUUUCCACAGCUCAAACAUAUGGCAACAACUGUACCAGUUACACCAGGAAUCCCCUUCACUUCUCCUCGAAUGUGAUCACUUAUAUUUUUCUCCAUCCUGACAUUCUCUUCUACAUAACCUCAUCUUGUUGAUAUGUUGGGCUUUACUGACCUUCCACUCAACUCCACAUAACUUUGUUAAUCUCAUAUUGUUUUACAGAACUCGCUUUUACUUUGGUAGGCAUCUUAUAGUUGCAUAUGCCAAUAUUGUGGCACCUUCAGUAUGAUCAUUCUAGUUUAAUCAUGUGUUACAGCUUUCCUAUUAUGCUUUUCUCCUGCACACUGAACCUAGAUAUCUUGAUUUUUUGCAUUUAGGCACUACAAUCCCUUUAGUUCCACUUCAACUCAUUUUUCUUAUGGGAGCUAAACCUAAAGUACAUAUCUUUUGCCUUCACUUCUAAUUAUUCUAAAACCCUUGCUCUCUAGAGUGCAUAACUAACUUUUUAACCACUGCACUAAUAUUUUCUUCACUAUCAUUAUAAUAUAAAUAUGUCAAAAUUAACUUAAACUCCAUAAACUAGGUCAGACCAAUAGAUAAUAUCUACAAAUGUGAAGAAGAAAAGAAA